rnacentral:lncRNA from 1 species
GAUCAUUGUUCAAAGUCAAUGUAUGUAUUUUUGAUUUGGAUUUUAUAUAAUAUAAUUAGGGCUAGCAAUUUUGGCUAGUUUGUGCAACUGGUAUAGCAUCUAUAGUUCAAAAUUUGAUAUUAUUUGGAUUAUUGGGUGUGCUAAGUGUAUACAAAAUUUUGUGAUAAUCUAAUAGUGUAGUUUAGAGAUAUCUAGUUUUUAGCACAAGAGGGUUUCGGAAGUUGGUAAUUUGGGAUUGGAUAGGGUUUCUAUGAUAUUUAG